AACGAACGCUGGCGGCGUGCUUAACACAUGCAAGUCGAACGCGAAAGGGACUUCGGUCCUGAGUAAAGUGGCGCACGGGUGAGUAACGCGUAGAUAACCUGUCUUCGUGUCUGGAAUAAUACACCGACAGGGGUACUAAUACCGGAUAAUCUUGCUUGUCAUAAGUUUUGCAAUAAAAGGUGGCCUCUGACUUAAGCUACUGCAUGAAGAGGGGUCUGCGUACCAUUAGCUAGUAGGUGGGGUAAAGGCCUACCUAGGCAACGAUGGUUAGCGGGUCUGAGAGGAUGAUCCGCCACACUGGCACUGGAACACGGGCCAGACUCCUACGGGAGGCAGCAGUGAGGAAUAUUGCGCAAUGGGGGCAACCCUGAAGCAGCGACGCCGCGUGAGUGAGGAAGGCCUUCGGGUCGUAAAGCUCUGUCAAAGGGAAAGAAAUGUAUAAUGGCUAAUACCUGUUAUAUUUGACGGUACCCUUAAAGGAAGCACCGGCUAACUCCGUGCCAGCCGCCGCGUAAUAC
rnacentral:rRNA from 1 species